UAUGGUCAUGUCACUUUGAAAGACUUGUUCUCAUACGAUCACAGAAGUUAAGCAACGUCGAACAAGGUCAGUAUCUAGAUGGCUGACCGCUUGGAAAUAACAGGUGCAGUAA